AAACUUCUGACUUUCUCAGACCAAAUGUCCGAUCUCAUAAUAUUCAGGUAAGAACUAACUGGUGAUAAUAAAAGAUAAAAAUGAAAUUCAUCUUGAGCUCAUUAAAAGUUACUACUUACUAUGGGAUCAUCUAUAUCAGUUAGUUGCCCAAGUACUUGGGAUCAGCCACUACAUAAUGAUAAGCAAUAACAAAUACGAAAAUAAAGAUGCCAAGAAAGUUAGCAAAGAAUCCUAAAUCUUGAUCAUCCAUUAUCUUCGAUUGAUUGAGAUCGAAUUUGUUGAAAAAAAAUUAGUAGCCUGCUGUGAGGGGAA
rnacentral:misc_RNA from 1 species